rnacentral:lncRNA from 1 species
AAAAAGAAAAUAAAAUGUCUUUCUUCUCUCUCCACUCUUCCGUCUUCUUUCUCUGCAUGUUCUUGUUGGUAGAUCUACCUCAUUCUUCCUUUUUUGCAUCAUAUAUGGUUUGCUAUUCCACUACAAUUUUAUUUUCAAAACGGACUUCUAAAAAUCAUACUUUUUAUCUAUGUUCUUCUUGUUUAGUCAUAUUUCUAUAAAUUUUUAUGUUUUAAUUGAAAGUUCUUAUAAAUCCAAAAUUUCUUGACCUUAAAAAUUGUAUAUUUUUUAAUAAUUUCAUCAAAUUUUAAUCAUUAGUAGAACAAUCAUGUAGGAAUUUUGUCAGACUUCCAUGGCCAAAGAGUCUUGAUUGAAAAGAUUGAGUGGUGAAUUAAAUUUUACUUUCCAAAAUGGUGAAUGAAAUCAAGUUAAUCUUAUUUCUUCAAAACUUUUUCCAUCAAAGUGUUUUGUUGUUGUUUAAAUGUUUUGUUGAUUUUUUGAAAUAUUUGUUUUUCCAAGUGAGAUAGUAGGAGAGAUUGGCGAUAGAUCCAAGUUUGGAAGAAAUGGAAAUGUUGUGUUUGUAGCAGAGAUUAGGGAGGAAGAAGAGGAAGAGUGGAGAGAGAAGAAAAAACACUUUUCAUUUUAUUUUUUUAAAAAGUAAUGUGCUUUCAAAAUUUAGUUGGAUGUAUCUAAAUGUUAAGUGUUGGGUAUGUGCCUAACCAAGACUUUCUC